CCUACGGGUGGCUGCAGUGAGGAAUAUUGGUCAAUGGGCUUACGCCUGAACCAGCCAAGUCGCGUGAGGGAAGACUGCCCGAUGGGUUGUAAACCUCUUUUGUCAGGGAGCAACGCCGGCUACGUGUAGCCGGACGGAGAGGACCUGAAGAAAAAGCAUCGGCGAACUCCGGGCCAGCAGCCGCGGUAAUACGGAGGAUUCAAGCGUUAUCCGGAUUUAUUGGGUUGAAAGGGUGCGUAGGCGGUCGGAUAAGUUAGAGGUGAACUCCCGAGGCUCAACUUCGGAAUGGCCUCUGAUACUGUUCGGCUAGAGCGUAGUUGCGGUAGGCGGACUGUC
rnacentral:rRNA from 1 species